rnacentral:rRNA from 1 species
GGGCAACCUACCCUAUAGUUUGGGAUAACUCCGGGAAACCGGGGCUAAUACCGAAUAAUUUAUUUCACCUCAUGGUGGAAUACUGAAAGACGGUUUCGGCUGUCGCUAUAGGAUGGGCCCGCGGCGCAUUAGCUAGUUGGUGAGGUAACGGCUCACCAAGGCGACGAUGCGUAGCCGACCUGAGAGGGUGAUCGGCCACACUGGGACUGAGACACGGCCCAGACUCCUACGGGAGGCAGCAGUAGGGAAUCUUCCACAAUGGGCGAAAGCCUGAUGGAGCAACGCCGCGUGAGUGAAGAAGGAUUUCGGUUCGUAAAACUCUGUUGUAAGGGAAGAACAAGUACAGUAGUAACUGGCUGUACCUUGACGGUACCUUAUUAGAAAGCCACGGCUAACUACGUGCCAGCAGCCGCGGUAAUACGUAGGUGGCAAGCGUUGUCCGGAAUUAUUGGGCGUAAAGCGCGCGCAGGUGGUUUCUUAAGUCUGAUGUGAAAGCCCACGGCUCAACCGUGGA